rnacentral:misc_RNA from 1 species
GAGUACAGGAAAUUUGGUUGUAGUCUGGAGUUUGUGACCAACAAGUCACAAGAAGGAUCUCAGUUUUGUCGAGGUUUUGGUGGUAUUGGAGGACUCCUCCGUUAUCAGCUUGAUGUUCGAGCUUUUGAUGAGCUUUCUGAUGAUGGUGAAGUUUACGAAGACUCAGACUAGCAAUUACCAACUUCUCAAAUACCAGUGCAGAAGUUGAGCGGGAAAGCCUGUACUGGUGUGCAAGGGCUGUCGCCUUAUUUGUACGCUCAUGUUCUAAGUGAAAUAUUUCUAAGAGCUCUUAAGAUGGAUGAUCUGCACGAACCUAAAUUGGCGUCAAUUUCACCACUUGCGUGCUGAAUCGCGAUGAGUUCCAGGCUGAUUCGGGCUGUUGAAUCUCCGGAGAAUUAUCAUUUUCUCCUAUGCUAAAUUAAAAUUUAAUUUUAUAUCAUAUUUUAUUUAUGUAAGGUAGAAUUAUUAGUCCAACCCUUUUAAUUUCUCAGUUAAUUAUGUCUUUGCAAAUUCCUUAAGGUUUUAUUAAGUAGUGCAAUUUUUAUUCAU